rnacentral:rRNA from 1 species
GACGAACGCUGGCGGCGUGCUUAACACAUGCAAGUCGAACGGAAAGGCCCUGCUUUUGUGGGGUGCUCGAGUGGCGAACGGGUGAGUAACACGUGAGUAACCUGCCCUUGACUUUGGGAUAACUUCAGGAAACUGGGGCUAAUACCGGAUAGGAGCUCCUGCUGCAUGGUGGGGGUUGGAAAGUUUCGGCGGUUGGGGAUGGACUCGCGGCUUAUCAGCUUGAUGGUGGGGUAGUGGCUUACCAAGGCUUUGACGGGUAGCCGGCCUGAGAGGGUGACCGGCCACAUUGGGACUGAGAUACGGCCCAGACUCCUACGGGAGGCAGCAGUGGGGAAUAUUGCACAAUGGGCGGAAGCCUGAUGCAGCAACGCCGCGUGCGGGAUGACGGCCUUCGGGUUGUAAACCGCUUUCGCCUGUGACGAAGCGUGAGUGACGGUAAUGGGUAAAGAAGCACCGACUAACUACGUG